rnacentral:snRNA from 1 species
GUACUUGCUUCAACAACAUAUAUACUAAAAUUGGAACGAUACAGAGAUUAGCAUGGCCCCUGCACAAGGAUGACAAGCAAAUUCAUGAAGUGUUCCAUAAAAAA